UCUCCUUUAAACGGCCCAUUCUGUCGCACGAAAGUCCAAGUUCCAGUAGUAUAACCGGCGUUAUGGCGCGACAGGCCACGGUCUCCGUUAUGGCUGCAACGUGAAAAGGAAGGAAUGGAAAAAAAGAAAGGUAAAAAGGGAAGAAUGGAGGAAAGAGUAUGGCGGUUGGCCACGAGUCGUUAAAGUUUCGCAAGAUAAACGACGAGUGGCAGCAAGCUAGAGGACGAGUGAUAUUACGCGCGAAAAGGCGCUCGAGCUUGCACGACCUAGAAAUGGUUUACCGUCUACGUCAAUGCCGAGCAACGGAGAAUAAGGUUUAAACGGGAUAGUAGGCAGCCACUUUAAGGCUGGCGAUAAAAAAACAGAUCGACCGACCGACCCGUCUUCCUGCCUCGAGAGCGGUGGCGAGUGUUAUUUUAGAAUUAAGGGCAACUACCGACGCGGCAAUCGUACACAAGGCCGAUACACAAUCGAAAAAACAACGUUUGUCGAUGAUGAGUCUGGUUCCGAGAGGAAAUUAUUGUUCCAGGUGUGCGCGAUUCCAAAUAUCAGCGAUGACCGACAUUUGGUAUCCAGGAAUAGUUUAAUAGGUUUCCGGGGACGCAAGACGUUGAUGAUUCAUAAUUGUUCGUUGCAGAUAGAACGUUUCGUUGGAUCGCUGUCUUGGGGAAAACGCAAAAGAGAAAUAUGAUAAAUACACUUUUAUUGAUUUUCUGGCUUUAAUGUUGGUAUAUGAUUAAACAACUUUCAUAUGACAUAAUUGAAAACAACCUGUUCGGUCCAAAGAUACGUGUCUUAAAAGUAACUGAUAGGUUAAUGUUUCGUGGAAGCUAAAUAAUAUAGAAUAAACGAUGGCGCUAGGGAAUGAAUUACAAGAAGACAUUUUCCACAUGAAUUCGUCGCCACCGAAGGAAACAGUCAGCAAAAUUGAAUUAACGGUCGUCCACGGUAAGCACGGAAGACAAUUUACAGGGGACUUUUUGCUUGAAGACUUUCGAUUUAUGGGGUACGAGUUUCACCUCGUUCUCGGAAGAUAUAUGAACGCUCUUUCACUUACCUGCGAUCAUAAGAUCGACUAAGGCUUUGUCCUUUUGUAUGUACAAUGCUGUAAGGAAGAAUAAUAAGCUGCCAAUGACUGCCACAAACAUUGUAAGAAACAAAGCGUACUGCAAACUGCGAAAUUCAAGAAGUGCAUUGUCAGCUUGGUCUGUUAUGUCUUUUACUUGACCGUCUAUACUCAAGUCUGAAAGAAGAACUGUUUUCAGUCCUUCUGAUAACUGAAAUCAAUCAAUAAAUGUGCCAAAAAUUAACAAUAUAGUGAGAUAAACAAAUAUGAAAUAUAUAAUUUAAUAAAAUAAAAAUUUAAUAUA